UUGAUUAUAAAUACAAAUAAGUAAUUAUAUAAAAAUUAAAGGGUAAAUAACGAAUAUCUUAUAGCAUAAAAGUUUCUGGCGCCUAAUCGAGCGAAAUAUACAAUGAGUCGAAAAAUUACUUAGAAUUGUAAAUUCCAGCAGAGAAAUCUAACAUUUAAAUAUUGUUCUUACCUAAUUAAGUGAAACAUCUCAAUAGUUAGAGGAAAGGAAAAUAAUUAAAGAUUUUGUUAGUAAUGGUGAGUGAAAACAAAAUAGCCAAAAUUUGAAUUUAAGGAAAUAGAAGUCUUAUAUGAUUUAAGCGCCAUAGAAGGUGAAAGCCCUUUAUAAUUUCUUAUUUUUAAUAUAUAUAAUAAUGAGUAAAAUAAAAUCUGUGAAAUUUUAUUGGAAAAAGGCAAACCCAUUUGCUAAGGCUAAAUACACUUUUAUGACUAAUAGUGAACAAGUACUGUGAAGGAAAGAUGAAAAGACAAAGUUAAAAGAUCUUGAAAUUGUUUACCUUAAGGAUCUAGAGCGCAGCGAAUGUGUUAUAGGGUGCCUUUUGCAUAAUGAGCGGGCGAUUUCUAAGGAACUAGCAAACUAUGGUCGUUAGAUGAAGGUGAAGUGAAAGCGAGCUUUAAUUAAGCGUUAAGUUAGUUUUUUGAGACUCGAUACUAAGCGAUCUAUUUACUGCCAGAUUGAAAGUACUUUAACACGUACUGAAGGAUCGAACCCAUGUAUGUUGCAUAAUACCGGGAUGAGUGGUAGCUAGGGGUGAAAGGCUAAUCAAGCUUAGUGUUAGCUAGUACUCUACGAAAUCUAUUUAGGUAGAGCGUUCUGUUCACAUUAUUGUUGGUAGAGCUCUAGGUAAGCAAUGGGAAUUAAUACUUCUACUGAGUUUACUUAAACUGCGAAUAGCAAUAAAUUUUUUUACAGAGCAGGCAGAUUGCGGGCGCGAAGGUUCGUAAUCGAAAGGGAAACAGCCCAGAAUAUCAGCUAAAGUCCAUAAAAAUAAUUAAGUGUAUGAAAUAAUCUAAAGUGUUAUAACAAUUAGGAGGUUGGCUUAGAAGCAGCCAUCCUUUAAAGAAAGCGUAACAGCUCACUAAUUUUAUAAAAGCAUUAUAGGGUUUUAUGAUAUAACGGACUAAAAUUAUUUACUGAAGCUAUAUGUAAAUCGGUAGUAGAGUAUCUUAUAUUUUAUAGAUAAAUUUGUGAGAAUUUAUUAAUAUAUUAAGAGAAAGUAUGCCUGUAUGAGUAGCAAAGAAUAGUGAGAAACUAUUCCACCGUAUAUAUAAGGUUUCCUAUUUAUAAAUUUAUUUUAAUAGGGUUAAUCGGCCCCUAAGUUUUAUAAUGACAAUUAUAGGCGAUGGGUUUUGGGUUAAAAUUCUCAAAUUUUUCAGUAAGUGACAAAGGGGGCAGGUUAUUUAAUUUUAAUAAAAUUAAUUAAGUAAUCAGGACCUUUCCGGAAAAAGCUUUGAAAAUAAAAAACCGUACUUAAAUCGGCUCCGAUAUUUUGAUAGAGUAUAUUAAGGUGAUAGGAUAAUAAUAUUGAAGGAACUCGGCAAAAUAGCUCCGUAACUUCGGGAGAAGGAGUACCUUUUGUAAGCAAUUACUUAUAGGUGUAACAGAAUAGAGGGUAGCGACUGUUUACUAAAAACACAGGACUCCGCUAAGUUGUAAAACGAUGUAUAGGGUCUGACACCUGCCCGGUGCUGAAAGAUAAAAAGGAUUGGUAGGAAUGCCAUGAAUAUAAAUCUCAGUAAACGGCGGCUGUAACCAUAACGGUCCUAAGGUAGCGAAAUUCCUUGUCGGGUGAGUUCCGACCUGCAUGAAUGGUGUAACGACUUCCCUACUGUCUCCAGUAUUAACCUAGUGAAAUUAAACUUGCUGUGAAGAUGCAGUAUAUAAAUGAUUGGACGGAAAGACCCUGUACACCUUUACUAUAAUCAUAGAUUGUUUUUAAAAUAUUGAAUAUGUAGGAUAAACAGCAAGCUUAUUAUACUUUAAUGCUAGUUAAUUGUUUAGGCAAUAGUGAAAUACUGUUUUUUUAAUUUUUAAAACUAACUAAAUUUUAGGAUAGUUUAUGACUGGUAGUUUGACUGGGGUGGUCGCCUUCUAAAUAGUAACGAAGGCGUGCAAAUGGUAAUAAUAAUUAAUUAAAAAUUAAUUUGAAAAUUUAAUGGUAAAAGAUUGCUUGACUGAGUAGAUCGACAGAUCGAGUCAGAGACGAAAGUCGGCCAUAGUGAUCCAAUAGUGCUGAAUGGAAGGGCUAUUGCUUAACGGAUAAAAGGUACGUCAGGGAUAACAGGCUAAUGGGCCCUAAGAGUCCUUAUCGACGGGCUUGUUUGGUACCUCGAUGUCGACUCAUCACAUCCUGGAGCUGCAGGCGGUUCCAAGGGUUAGGCUGUUCGCCUAUUAAAGUGGUACGUGAGUUGGGUUUAGAACGUCGUGAGACAGUUCGGUUCCUAUCUGUCAUUUUGUAAAAACUAAAAAAAUGUUUCUUUUGUACGAGAGGAUUGAGAAAUGUAUACCACUGGUAAAUCGAUUGUACUGUCAAAGGCAUUGUCGAGUAGCUACGUAUAAAUUUUAUAAUUGCUGAUAGCGUAUAAGCAAGAAAAUGAUUUUUAUGUUUUUUUAAACGGUUGUAGAUAAUAACUUUUUAUAGGCGCGAAAUUAAAUUUGGUAACGAAUGGUUUACGCGUACUAAUUAUUAAAUUUUUUAUAUAUGAUUUUUUUGCAAUUU
rnacentral:rRNA from 1 species